GACGAACCGUGCGAACGUUGUUCGGAUUCACUGGGCUUAAAGGGCGCGUAGGCGGCGGCUCAAGUCGGGGGUGAAAUCCUCUCGCUUAACGAGAGAAUUGCUUUCGAUACUGGGUCGCUGGAGGGAGAUAGGGGUGCGCGGAACUUCCGGUGGAGCGGUGAAAUGCGUAGAUAUCGGAAGGAACGCCGGUGGCGAAGGCGGGUCUCUGGGCCGAUACUGACGCUGAGGAGCGAAAGCGUGGGGAGCGAACAGG
rnacentral:rRNA from 1 species